AGUGAACGCUGGCGGCAGGCCUAACACAUGCAAGUCGAACGGCAGCACAAGAGAGCUUGCUCUCUGGGUGGCGAGUGGCGGACGGGUGAGGAAUGCAUCGGAAUCUGCCCAUUUGUGGGGGAUAACCUCGGGAAACCGGGACUAAUACCGCAUACGACCUACGGGUGAAAGCAGGGGAUCUUCGGGCCUUGCGCAGAUGGAUGAGCCGAUGCCGGAUUAGCUAGUUGGAGGGGUAAAGGCCCACCAAGGCGACGAUCCGUAGCUGGUCUGAGAGGAUGAUCAGCCACACUGGGACUGAGACACGGCCCAGACUCCUACGGGAGGCAGCAGUGGGGAAUAUUGGACAAAGGGCGCAAGCCUGAUCCAGCCAUGCCGCGUGUGUGAAGAAGGCCUUCGGGUUGUAAAGCACUUUUGUUGGGAAAGAAAAGCAGCCGGUUAAUACCCGGUUGUCAUGACGGUACCCAAAGAAUAAGCACCGGCUAACUUCGUG
rnacentral:rRNA from 1 species